rnacentral:sRNA from 1 species
ACUGGGUGUGGUGGUGCACACCUGUAAUCCCAGCAGCUCAGGAAGCUGAGGCAGGAGGAUUAUGAGUUCAAAGCCAGCUUCAGCAACUUAGUGAGACCCUAGGCAAUUCAGUGAGACUCAGUCUCAA